GGAUUGCGACUGUGUGUAACCUCAACCCGCCGGAGUGUGAGCCGUGUUGGGAGACGUCUGACUGAGCAAUGUUGCUAAAUUAGCUCUUACUGUUAGCACGUGCAACCGAGGAGCAGACCUGCGUCACGUGGGAACCCUGGCUUUAUGUACAAGUGUCUGAAUAUAUCCUCCAUCACCGGACAUGACCAGUAGUAAUGGUAGCUGCUAGUUACUCUGCAGAUUCAUAAAACAGAAUAUAAUCAACAGGUUCAGACUGUAUACAAAGGUGGACGACAUGACUGCACCCUAAAAGUGACGCCAAGGCACCUUUGCCCUCGUGGCCUCCUUCAGUAAAAGUCGUCCUCCUCCUCCAUCACCUCUCCUCCACCACAGUCUGUCCGUUGCUCCUGGUUUCCUCCACUAUUAUCUUCUCCUCCUCUGGAAACAACAUGUGAACGUCCUUCCUGCUGGAGCCUAAUUGAAACCAUUGCAACAGUGACUGAACCAGCAUCUGUUGGAAGGUCGAGAUCUCCUCCAGAUUUCCUUGAAUGUGACCGAUGUCGACGCUGCUGAGUCUGCAAAGCAGAAGAGGAUAGAGGAAGAGAAGAGGGACAUCAUUCAUCAUUUAAACAUCUUCUGUAGAUGGUGAUAUUUAACUAUAAACUCAAAGGAAGUCAAAUUGUUGUAAUCCUUGUAUGGGACAAGUCAACUUUGAAGGGUGCAACAAUAUCUAAAGAAAAGCCAAGAAAAGAUGGGAUGGAAGUUCCGCCGAUCAAGGUCCCGCUGAUACACGGGACAGACCAAUCCUCCCGCACAUAGUUACUGGGGAACCAUCCAGAUUUGCCGUUGUACGAGCCUUCCCACCAGCCCCCAUCCUCCUGCCUGCUCACGCUG